rnacentral:ncRNA from 1 species
AUAUUCCCACCCGACGUCGGUGUGCUCCGGGGCGAUUCGGGUCCGGAGCACCGAGAGAGGGAAUCCGGUGCGAGUCCGGAACUGCCCCGCAGCGGUGAUCGGGAACGACGCGACAGAGGUGCACUGGCUCCGGCCGGGAAGCAGUCGCCGGUAGGUGGCAUCGGGUGUCCGAUGCCGUGCCCGAGAGUCCGAAGACCUGCCGCCGUUGGCCGCGGCGG